UGUUCCUGUUUGGAUGCUAAUAAUUUGAUUUGCGAUCGAGGAAUUAGGAUUGAGGUGUCGCGUAAAUUUGUCCAUGGGAAGAAGCGUUUUCCUUCAUAGUGCUUUGUGAAGUGUUGGCCUUCCGAGAUCUAUUUCGUGCAUUUUUAGGAUGUUUCGUAUAACUCUAGAAGCUUUGUUACGAAUUUUUCCUUACAUGCCGCGUAUUAUGGGUAAAACGUUGCGGGUUUCAAGUGAAUUGUGGAUCGUAUUGAACUUGGUCAAUUUUCGAAAAGUUUAGAUUUUUCGUUAACCAUUUGGUUGUUAGGACUGAGUUUCGUUACGAAGAAUUUAUCAUAUGAUUUCCGACUGUGGGCUAUACGAUAAUUGUUCUCUUAAUAGUCACACGACGUUUUAAGACAAAUCUUAGAUUGUCGUUUAGUUGUUAAGUGAUGGAGCGAUGGUUUCUCAAAUAGUUUGGCUUGGCGAGAAGGAUGUGUUCACUCAGAUAGCCAAGGAUGUUGUAGGUUAAGGAUUAGACCAUGGUGCUUUAACAUUUAAGGUCAUGUUAGUUUACAAUCGUCCUUUAAAGGUGGUGGCAAAUAUUUGUUUGGUCCUUUAGUGGAAGGCGUAAUUGAUCGAUGGCCAAAAAGCGCUUGUCAAGAUUGAUAGGCCAAGUUGUUAUCCGUGCUAAUAUGGCCGAUAGUCGUAGAAAACCAUUCUCCGCUCUAGGUUUCAGUUAUACGAUGAAUAUUUCGUAUAAUGUGACCUAUAGUCUUAUGACAAUCGAGUCUUUUUGUCUGAGGAAGACGAAGCCCAAGAGGUUUGCUAUACAAGACAUACUUCUUCAUAAGGCAUGUUAUGUUAACUUUAGAUUUCUUCGUAAGACUUGGUCUGAUCGUACGAAGGAUUUUUCGCGUAAGUAAUGGGGACCGGUUUUACGAAGGUUGUAAAUUGGUGAUACGUAUACAUAUGUCAAAGUAGCGUUGUUUCUGCGGGUUUUACAAGAAACGUUUCUGCUGUGAUUUCGAUCCUAGGUGAAAGUUGCUUGGAGUUACUCAUGGAAUGUUACCGAAGUUUAUUUCAUUACGAUCUAGUGGCAUAACGUUUUUCAUAGGUUUUUUUUAGCGGAUUCUCAUGACACAUUCGUUUCUGGAACGAAUUGGUCAACCAGAGGGGGAUCUAGCUAACCAUCAGGAGGAAAGUGUUCCUUUUAAUGUGCACGAUGCUACAUCUAUUCUUGAGUUUUCUUCGUCGCAAAUGUUUUUGAUGCUUUUCCGUGACUUACUUGGUACAACGGAAACUGAAAGAAAUGCCUUGGUGAUUGAAGAUUUCUCGUAGAAAAUUUUAAACGAAUAUGGCUUUCUAAAGCCGGAAAGGGCUUCAAUACUUUGGCUAAACGUCGAGUUUCAGUUUGAUAUUGAUACAGGUUUUCUGUACGCAUGAUUGCGAUAAGAAAUGAUGUAUAGUCUUUGAGAUUAUGUUCAUGAUCGUCUGGAUAUGAUGCUAAAGUUUAGACGAAUUUUAGAUUGUCGUUUGCCUAUUGGGACGAUUUGCUUUGACGAAAUCGUUUUCUUGACGAUUUGCAAAAGUUUUUGAAGUUUUGGAGUAUACGAGUAUAGUAUAUGUACUUACUCCCCUUUUUUUUUUACGAAAGAAAACGGUUGAACCGAUCCUUUGAAGGGUUGUGUACGUUUCUUUUUCUGAGGUUUGGAAUGAUCGAUAAUCCGGGACGAUUUAAAGACGACGCUUGGACUGUGAUUUGGUUGUUUCCACGUUGACGACUUGGAAUAUGUUGGUUCCAAGAAAUUGCUAGUAACGAAUCGGUUUUAAGACGACGUUGAUGUCUCUAGUUUUUUCUCUCUUUAGGAAGCGAUCUUGAUAUGCAUGGCGAUCGUUUCUUGAUUUUCGGAGAGUUUAGAUCGGUUUGCAAGAUCUGGCUGAACAGUUAUGGAACGAUAUAUCGAGACAGGAAAAAUCGCCUAAGACUUAGUUUGCUAGACUAUCCACCUAGGUUUUACGUUCCCUAAAGUUCUAUGGCAGUCUCAAAGGCGUUUUUAUUUCUUAGUUAUUUCUUACGACAAUUCCAAGUCUGAUUUCAAAAAUUUCAAGUCGAAAAUACCUUAGUUCUCUCGAAGAUGCAGUUUUGUCUCUUCUCAAUUUUGUUUGCUCAUUUUCCCUUCCUCUUCUCGUGUAUGGUCGCCAUUUCGAUAUUGGUGUUUAUCCUUUGAAAUUUGUCAUUUGUCUUCCGAAUUUGACUGUUAUCUUCUCCUUAAAAACGACGUCAAUUUUAUAAAAGGUUCAACGUAGUCGUAUAGUUAAGGCCGCUAAGGUGUUAAGUUAACCGCUGCCGUUUUAUACGAUCAAUCUGAAUCCAUGCACGAAAACAAGUCUUUGCGGUUUUUUUAUUGUAAAGUUUCAAUGGUAACUCCAAUCAAGACAAAAAAAGAGACUUUUCGAUCGAGAUUUGAAGGAGAACACACUAAGAUGGAGGUAAGGGCGAGUAGGAGCAACCGAAGGAGUUUAGACGAGUCUUACUUGUUUUCGUCGUAAAAUCUCAAAGGAAACUCCGAUUGACACGAAACGAAAAGCGUUUCGAUGAGGAUUUAAAAGAGAACCUAAAGGAGGACCUUUCAGAGGCCUGACAGGUCGCUAUGUAGCGAUUGAAGGCCUGACAGGUUGCUACGUAGCGAGUGGAAGCAAGCCAAGAAGAGUCCUACUUGUUUUCGCCGUAAAAUCUCAAAGGACACUCCGAUUGAGACGAAACGAAAAGCGUUUCGAUGAGGAUUCAAAAGAGAACCCAAAGGAGGAUCUUUUUGAGGCCUGACAAGUCGCUAUGUAGCGAGUGAAGGUUGGCUUGAGCUCGGUCGCUACGUAGCGACCGAGCUGUGUGCGUGCUCGAUCGCUACGUAGCGAGCUGUGUUCGUGCUCGGUCGCUACGUAGCGACCGAGCUGUGUACGUGCUCGGUCGCUACGUAGUGACCGAGCCUUUUGCGUGCUCAGUCGCUACGUAGCGACCAAGCUUGGCUAGAGCUUGAUUGCUACGUAGCGACCGAGCUUUGUAAUCGAUUUGCUGUGCUUCCUUUUUCCGCGAUUAACCUAGGGGUUUUCUGCGGUUUUUGGGAGAACAAGUUUUAGCCUUCCGAAAUGUUUUCGGAAAACUUGUUUUGGUAAAAGCCUUACGCAUGGAGAUUUCUUUUGUUCGGUAAUGAGCCAAACUUACGGAGUUUUGAUAAUAUUUAUUGUUUUCCUUCGUGUUUACAGGGAGAAAUCGAGAGCUUGUUUUAGUGAAAGGUCGCGACUAAGUUUUUGAUUUUGUUGAACACUGCGGCGUUUUCAUAAGCGUUCGCCAUAGGAGCAGUCAGUGCUGCGAGUUUUUCUUUCAUAUAUCCAGACAUCGUUUCGAUCAAGCGUUUUGAGGCCAUGAGUAAGAGUAAUUCGUAACCCCCCCCCCCCCCCCUCCUUCUAGCGCCAAACUGUGGGAACCAAAAUUCGCACUGUAGAUUUACGUUUAAAUUAGUAAAAUAAGAAAACCCAAAUUUCCCAAAGGUCCCGGAUCUCUGCGAGAGCCAACGACAAGUGACCAAAUAUAUGCGGAAAUCGUGAAAAGAUAACAAACGAGUUUAGAGAAAACAGUAUAUCUUAUUUCGAGUCCACGUAAGAGUGUUGCGAUCAUUACAA